rnacentral:rRNA from 1 species
UACGGGGGGGGCAAGCGUUGUUCGGAAUUACUGGGCGUAAAGGGCUCGUAGGCGGCCAACUAAGUCAGACGUGAAAUCCCUCGGCUUAACCGGGGAACUGCAUCUGAUACUGGAUGGCUUGAGAUUGGGAGAGGGAUGCGGAAUCCCAGGUGUAGCGGUGAAAUGCGUAGAUAUCUGGAGGAACACCGGUGGCGAAGGCGGCAUCCUGGACCAACACUGACGCUGAGGAGCGAAAGCCAGGGGAGCAAACGGG